rnacentral:rRNA from 1 species
AUGCCAUUAACUCAGGUGCACAAACGUGGGGCUAUAAGCCGUUCCAUUGACAUUGGUAGGUUCUCUGAAUAUGGAGAACUGAAUCAAGCUUUGGCCCACAUGUUUGGCAUGGAAGGGCGACUCGAAGAUCGACAGAGUAUGGGUUGGAAAUGUAUCUACCAGGAUUAUGAGGGCGACUUCCUAUUUGUCGGUGAUGACCCAUGGGAGGAGUUUGUGAUCAUCGUCAAGUCCAUUUGGAUCUUGUCGCCUCAAGAGGUUCUUCAGCCGAUGUUUCCGGGUGGUGAUUUAACAUCAAGGCUGUAG